ensembl:snoRNA Gm25915 small nucleolar RNA SNORA17
UCUGCCCCCACAAGUAUUGCAGGUGUGGCUCCUGUGUCACAUGUGCUUCAAUAGAUGGCAGAGAGGAGAGAGGCUAUUUCUACACUGAGUAUUCUGAUUUAUGAACAUCUGAUACAGCAGCCUAACAUU